rnacentral:rRNA from 1 species
GAUGAACGCUAGCGGCAGGCCUAACACAUGCAAGUCGAGGGGCAGCACGGUGUAGCAAUACACUGGUGGCGACCGGCGCACGGGUGCGUAACGCGUAUGCAACCUACCCAUAACAGGGGGAUAACACUGAGAAAUUGGUACUAAUACCCCAUAACAUCAGGACCGGCAUCGGUUCUGGUUGAAAACUCCGGUGGUUAUGGAUGGGCAUGCGUUGUAUUAGCUGGUUGGUGAGGUAACGGCUCACCAAGGCAACGAUACAUAGGGGGACUGAGAGGUUAACCCCCCCACAUUGGUACUGAGACACGGACCAAACUCCUACGGGAGGCAGCAGUGAGGAAUAUUGGUCAAUGGACGCAAGUCUGAACCAGCCAUGCCGCGUGCAGGAAGACGGCUCUAUGAGUUGUAAACUGCUUUUGUACGAGAGUAAACGCUCUUACGUGUAAGAGCCUGAAAGUAUCGUACGAAUAAGGAUCGGCUAACUCCGUGCCAGCAGCCG